CUUGUAGUGAUAGUUCUCUCUCUCUCUCUCUCUCUUCUGGAAAAACAAAUUGAAUAGGUAACCUGGUGCGCACUUUCUCCGCAGAGCAACCCACGUGUACCUCCCCAGUCUAAUGGUGAGCCUGGCGCCGCCCCUCGUGGUCUUCCAGCCUCCUCACCAGUGCAUCUUCCACUCCUCCGAGCUUGUGUAUAACUUGACCAACCAGUGAUGAGAGCGUGUGAAGCAGUUUGCCAACCUGGUCCUGGCCCUCAUGAUGCUGUUCGCCAGGUACAAUCACUGGAUGGUGGGCGACAAGUUUGAGAGACUCGCCCCCUCACUGGUGUUCUUCAUGCCAACCUGCCGGCUCAUCGCUGAGUACCAAAUCCACCGGAAGAAGAUGGACAAGGCGGCGGCAGCGGCCAAGAAGUCACCCGUCGCAGCCGCUGAAGGGAAGGACGGAGGAACAGCCGCCAACUCCAUCGCUGGCGGCUCCACGUCUACUCUCGUCUCCUCCUCCUCCUCCUCCUCCUCGCCCUCCUCCUCCUGCUCCUCUCAACAUGGACGGUCGAAGGAGGAUGUUUAGUGUGGAGGUGUUUGAUUGGGCCUGAAGCAGGAAGACAGAAGCUUAAUGAAGAAGACUGGUGAGGGCCCCCGCCAUCACUGAAGAACAUGGUGCUGUCACCACUGUUAUCUGUGGAGAGCUUCACAUGGCACCCUCCAUCACUGCCCAACAUCACUGAAG